AUCGAACGCUGGCGGCAGGCUUAACACAUGCAAGUCGAACGAGUGGCGGACGGGUGAGUAAUGCUUGGGAAUCUAGCUUAUGGAGGGGGCAAACUACGGGAAACUGUAGCAAAUACUGCGUACCGUAGGAUGAGCCCAAGUGGGAUUAGGUAGUUGGUGAGGAAAAGGCUCACCAAGCCGACGAUGUCUAGCUGGUCUGAGAGGAUGACCGGCCACACUGGGACUGAGACACGGCCCAGACUCCUACGGGAGGCAGCAGUGGGGAAUAUUGCGCAAUGGGGGCAACCUGACGCAGCCAUGCCGCGUGAAUGAAGAAGGCCUUCGGGUUGUAAAGUUCUUUCGGUAGCGAGGCGUUAACUACAGAAGAAGCACCGGCUAACUCCGUGCCAGCCGCCGCGGUAAUAC
rnacentral:rRNA from 1 species